GGAUGCGAUCAUACUAGCACUAAAGAACCGGAUCCCAUCAGAACUCCGAAGUUAAGCAUGUUUGGGCGAGAGUAGUACUAGGAUGGGUGACCUCCUGGGAAGUCCUCAUGUUGCAUUCC
rnacentral:rRNA from 2 species